rnacentral:sRNA from 1 species
CGGAAGUGCCCUCUCGACCGGGUGGACGGUAGCUUCAGCAACUCCCAUCCUCCCAGGUCAGAGGGAACUUUCUCGUUCAACCCACCGAGCACGAGACAUAUCGGCCGGUGCAUCCAG